GGGAAGCCGGGAGCAGGGUGCAGGCCGCGCGUGCGGGGCGGCGGGGGCGGCGACGCGGAGGCGCCGUUCUGAGCGCUCUCGGUUCCACUUCGAACGUGUCCGGCGAGGAGCUUGCAGUUAAACGGCUGUGCGUCAGUGGCAGUGAUUACUGACGGCGUCGUGGAGACCUUUGGCUCUUAGUACAAGAGUUGUGUUCAGGUGCCCCGUGAAGCUGUGAACCCACGUCCUAGAAGAGUCCAUGUGUGAGGAUGCAGUUACCCACAAAGCCUCCACCUUGGAGCACUGUUGCACUGGAGAACACCUCUUCACCCGGGAGCUUCUGGGAGACCCUGGGAAUCCAAACCGUAGCACUCCAUCUGCAGACCUCCUCGCAGCGGUGUGUCUUGAGAUCUGCAGAAGCUGGAACAUGAGUUGACCUUCAGAGGGCAUCAGACCAUGGGUCCUGGAGGUGGACCCUCCGUCUGUGUUGAAAGUACACCUCCUUAAACUUCUGGCUGGUGCUGUGCUUGCAGAUGUUGGCUGAUGGUUUGGGGCUGCAGUCCUAUCUGCUUUCAAUCAGCCCUAGCUCACUGUGGGAACAUUUUUUCUGUCCCUCUCACCUAGUGGGCUUCUGCCCUGUGGUGAGGAAACCAUUUCUUGUAUACAGACAAGUUCAUUCCAGCAGAACUUGGUCUUCUCUGUGAAAACACUGAGGACUUGUAUCCUAUGUCACAUACCUGCUGUGAUGCCUUCUUUAAAGCUUUGGGUUACUUUUGAGUUCAAGUAAAGGCUUGUCUCAUAUUUACCGCUAAUGAGAUUUAAGCAACUUAUUGAAUUUCCUUUAAACUACAGCUGCCAAAACUUCAGUCACACGCACAGUGUCCUUUGCCCUGUCUGUAUUGCUUUUGCUGCAAGCCAUUUCAAAUCCUGUGUAAUCAGAGAAGAUUAGGAAAGAAACGGAAACUGCAUAGAGAAAAAGGUGUGUAAUUAAAGAGCAGAGAAAUAAAUGUCUAUGCAGAAAUACAUGGGCAAUAUGAUGUACUGUAUCUUCUCUGGAGUGAUGGGGGGUGGUAAUGGGCCCUGCAUACCUGUACCACAGCGCUGUAAAACAGGUGAGACUAGGAGCUGCAACAGUCAGAGAAACUUGGGAACAGGUGGGCCAAAGAGGAACCUGCCUGGAAGGGAAGAAGAUAAACGAAGGCAGUGGGGUGACUGCUUGACAAACGCAAGCAGGGCAGCGAGGCACCAGGGCGGAGGUUCACGCUGGGUAUUCGCACACUGGAGAUAGAGGCCUGCAUGCCAAAGACAGCGAAACAAACACCAACGUUUAAAGCAGGAAAUACAGCUCUACCAUGUAAAACCUAAGAGCCAGGAGCCCCUGAGGGUGCGCUCUUCCUGCACCACUCCAAGGCCCGGAAUGCAGAUCUCCUGCCUCACCCUGUGGGCACCACCUUCCCUGGAGCGCGCUGGGCAGCAGAAGGGUCUGCCAGCUCCAAGUGUUUCAGACGGGAGCAGAGGGAGAGCAAACUCUGAAGAGGCCCACAGCAUUGCCGUCUCGAGGAGAUGUUCACCAUGGGAGGGGGGAAUCUGCGGCCAACAGGAGUGCCCUAGGGCCCUGGCACAGAGCAAGAGGACGCCCUCCCAAGGGACCGUGUUCACGAUGACCCUCUUCCUGGAAAGAGCAGCACGGAAGGUAUGCCCCGUGCCCUGAGUGCUGUGUCUGCCGCCCUGGAAAAGAGCAGGUGUCACCCUUAGUCCUUCACAGUCAGAAGUCGACCAACUGAGGAUUGAACACAGACUGACAUAGGAGAAGUACAGUUCCCCAGGGGAGCACUGUGGUACCAGCACCCUUCACAGUGCUCGCUUACGUAACCAUCUUUCCAGUGUGCAGGACACGGGACUCUGCACCGUCAGUACUUUUCAGGAAAACAAGGCACUGAAAGAUGGCUUUUUUCCAUAUUCCGAAGAGUGAGUUUUACGUGUGAUCUAAAUAUUGUGUAUUUAAUACUUAUGUUUAUUGCUUGGUACAGAAUGCCUUGGAAGAAGCAUUCCAUUUAAUUACAUGCUACAAGAAAAAUAUUAAGGGCUCUUCCUUAAUAAAUUUUUCAACUGAAAAA